CUCCACCAUGCACCUUGUGACCCCCUCCCGUGCUGACAACAGAUAACCACCUUUAACUCUAACUUUCCACUGCCUACCCCAGUCCUAUAAAGCUGCCCCUCUCUUAUCUCCCUUCACUGACUGUCUUUUUGGACUCAGCCCACUUGCAUCCGAGUGAAUAAACAGCCUUGCUGCUUACACAAAGCCUGUUUAGGUGGUCUUCUAUAUGGACACGCAUGACAAUAUUUACAACAAAUACCAAGGAAGAGCUAAGAGCACAUAGCAUUUCCCAGGCUUAUUAGACUGUGGGAUCAACCUCUUUAAGAAAGCAUUUUGCAGAAUUGUUGUUCACAGGUCAUUCUGCAGUGUGAAGUUUUUUUUGCAAUAAGAUCCUUACUCUAGAGUUAACUUCACUAGGAAGUACACUCUGGGUGUUUACCUUUAGAGCUUCAGUUUCUACAAGAAUUUGGCACCGGUUGGGUCUUGUAGAAAUAUUUACUGCAUGGAGUUGAAAGAAGAGUCUGGACUGGGAGAAGGAUGUAUGGAUAAAGAACAAGUGAUUUUAUUUGCUGUUAUUGAAUGCCCUGAAUUUAAUUAAGUCCUCUCUUACACUUUCUCGCUUCUCUGAAGCCACUCAGAAGGGGAGACAGGUGGCAGGACGCACAAGGAAUUUUGCCGCACUGGGUUGAAAAGCAUCAUGAAAGCAUUUCAGGUUCUUUGGCAAGUGCCUCUGUUCCCUCCAAGGGCUCUGCUGACAGUCUUCUCUCCUGCUCCACUUGUCACACUGGGGGCUGCUGCUGUUACUCUGGGUGUGCCACACCAUACAGGGUGCCUCUGCUGCUCUGCAUUGCCUCUUUGGCCUUGUCGGAUGCCACAGACCAUGUCUGGUGUCUACUGCUGGUCUGCUAGAACCUCACCAGACUCCCUGGCCACACAUACAGUCUAAAUCCCAUUGUGAUGUUCUGUGCUGCCAAGUAUUGUGCUUUGGGAUCAAAGUGUUGAGAAGGACAGUGACUCUUUCAAAUGUCAUUCCAUUGGGGUCAACUCUAGUGAUUUCUCACUGUAUUUGACAGUUUAGUGCAAGAGCUCUCUCAGUUUUUAGAGUCAUACGUUUCCCUGUACACAUUCAUAGAGCUGGGGAGAGUGAGCAAUAGCCAAGACAUUGCUGAAAUCACAAUGUGGAACUCCUCAAGGCUAUGCAUGUACAUUAUUGCAAAGAAUAAGGCUUUGUUCCUCAUCCAUCCUCUGGUAGUCACAGCUUUAUUUUAAUUAGAGCUGUUUCCAUAAAGCUAGCAUAGAGAUAUGUGUCUGUCUACAGGACGAGUUCGUGAGAUGUGCCCAAAGCAAUGGUAAAUAAGGCUUGAGUUUUCUAGGAGGCAAUUCAGUCCUUCUGCAAAUAGAUCCUCACCUCUGCUGCUACAUUUGGUAUGCACUUUUACCUUGGCAUGCACCACGGUGCCCUGUGAUUAUUAAUUUACUUCCAUGUCUUGGUCUUCAUGUCUCUCUGUAGAUCUUUAAGGGCAGGGACAAUACAUUAUUCAACUUUAUUUAAAAAUUCUAACAUCUAUCCUAGUGUUAGAUACUGAGCAAACAUGCAGCAAAUGUGUCCUGUAUAAAUGAAACAAGUCAUAUUCCAAUUUUUUUGUUUUCCUCCUGGUUUUACUUAAUGAAACUCAUUGAACUAAAAAUAUCUAAUCUUUAUAUUCCUCCAGCAAACUAUGAGACUUAGUCCAUUUUAGAUUCUUAUUAAAAUUUACUGAAUUGCCUUUUUUGGUAUUCAUAAAUGUAUGAAAGUGACUUACCAAUUAGUGAUAAUUAUUAUUAAUUGCUUAUUAAUAGAUUAUAAUUGGAGCCCAGCACAUAUUGUUACAGGCCUUAUCAUAUUUCAGGCAACACUUCGAUUUUAAAACAAACAUUAAAAAAAAUUCUUAUUUGAUGACUCUGAGGAUAGACCUCCCACCAUAAGCCUUUAUCCAUGCUAGAGUGGAAUAGACAGAUGCAUUUCAUUUACAGCGUAAGAUAAAAUUGCUCUUUGAUAUUCAGUACUCUGUGUGGGGAAAGCCUUUUUUUUCUUUUCUGAAUUCCAGUAAUUGUCUUGUUUGUAGUCCCUUGCUGCAGACCUUUGCCUCCUGCCAACUGCUUGCCAGACGUGGUCUCAAUGUUAAGAAGGGAGAGGUUCCCAGAGAGCAUAAGAUAUAUAUUGAAAUCAAACAUUUUUCUAAAACUAUUGUUUUCCAAUUUCCACUAAAUCAUACCUUUUGUGACCCUUCUUACUCAGUGGAUUUCAAAACACUUAGCAAAAGAAUAACUAAAAUAAAAAGUCAUUACUCACAGAUGCUUUGCACACCUGAAGGGUAAAGUUGGUUUUUCUUUUGUGUGUUAUUUAUACCAAUGACACACCAUUUCUUUAUUAUUUUUGAGUUUCAUUCUUUAGGUUAACUGGCUCCACUUUGAUUUCUGCUGCUCAGCUAUGACACAACAAUUGAAUUUAAGUAUCAGCCUAUUACUUACUCUGUAUGUUUCAAAAUUCAAGGUCAGAAUAAAAAAUUAGAAAACAAAUG
rnacentral:lncRNA from 10 species